CAGGAAAUAGUUUAAGUAAAAUUUUAGUUUUGGGAAUUAAAGAAAGUGAGAAAUUGCUUUUCCUGA
rnacentral:tRNA from 1 species